GUCCUCGUUGCAUAACUGGAUAAUGCAAUCCCCUCCUAAGGGAUAGAUUACAGGUUCGAGUCCUGUCGAGGACGCCA
rnacentral:tRNA from 1 species